UACGUAGGUGGCAAGCGUUAUCCGGAUUUAUUGGGCGUAAAGAGAACGCAGGCGGUCUUUUAAGUCUGAUGUGAAAGCCUUCGGCUUAACCGGAGUAGUGCAUUGGAAACUGGGAGACUUGAGUGCAGAAGAGGAGAGUGGAACUCCAUGUAUAGCGGUGAAAUGCGUAGAUAUAUGGAAGAACACCAGUGGCGAAAGCGGCUCUCUGGUCUGUAACUGACGCUGAGGUUCGAAAGCGUGGGUAGCAAACAGG
rnacentral:rRNA from 1 species